rnacentral:rRNA from 1 species
GGAUGAACGCUGGCGGCGUGCCUAAUACCUGCAAGUCGAGCGAACGGACGAGAAGCUUGCUUCUCUGAUGUUAGCGGCGGACGGGUGAGUAACACGUGGAUAACCUACCUAUAAGACUGGGAUAACUUCGGGAAACCGGAGCUAAUACCGGAUAAUAUUUUGAACCGCAUGGUUCAAAAGUGAAAGACGGUCUUGCUGUCACUUAUAGAUGGAUCCGCGCUGCAUUAGCUAGUUGGUAAGGUAACGGCUUACCAAGGCAACGAUGCAUAGCCGACCUGAGAGGGUGAUCGGCCACACUGGAACUGAGACACGGUCCAGACUCCUACGGGAGGCAGCAGUAGGGAAUCUUCCGCAAUGGGCGAAAGCCUGACGGAGCAACGCCGCGUGAGUGAUGAAGGUCUUCGGAUCGUAAAACUCUGUUAUUAGGGAAGAACAUAUGUGUAAGUAACUGUGCACAUCUUGACGGUACCUAAUCAGAAAGCCACGGCUAACUACGU